rnacentral:lncRNA from 1 species
AUCUGAAGUCCAGGCAGGUUUCCAAAGAGGGAAAUCCACAUUGGACCACUGCUUUGUGCUGAACUUUCUGCUAUGUAAAUACAUCCAUAAUUUGAAGCAAGAAUUAUAUGUUGCUUUUAUCGAUCUAAAGUCAGCUUUUGAUACGGUCCCAAGACACGCAUUGUGGCAAAAUUGGAUUUUAACAUCCAUGCCAACACAAGGGGCCGCUUGGGAGUUUGUGGAAAGCAUGGCCUCCACGGGGCUGUCCCUGAAUAAGUUUGGCCCAACUCAUAGUUGCGGACAUGCCUUAGACCUGGUGUUCACCUCUAUUGACGUGGGUGAUCUGACACUAAUUAAAAGCGAAACCAAAGAAGUGCCAUGGUCAGAUCACUUCCUGGUGCAACUGGACUUCUCCGCAACCCUUCCCCUCUGCAGGGAGGUGGGACUGAUUCAGAUGGUCCACCCCUGCCACUUAAUGGAUCCAAAUGGUUUCCAGAGAGUGGUAGGGGAUGUUUUAUCCCAUGUUGAUGGCCUUUCAGCUGAUUCCUUGGUGGACCACUGGAAUGCGGAGUUAACCAGGGCUAUCAACUAUCCACCACCCCACCAACUGCUAUGUCAUAUUCGAAACUGCUUUCUCAAUUCUCUUCCAGAGGGGUUUGCCCAACUUGGAGCUGGUGUUUGCAAAAUACAAGUCCAAUUAUCCCUUGGGAACUAGUUAUACAGUUCCCAUGGACCCUGGCCAUGGAUCUCUCAAGUUUUUGACAAGGCUGGGCAAAGAGGGGCUUACUCUGCCUAUUUGCUGGUGAUGAAGAAAGAGGUAAUCACAUAUGGUUUUGGUAACAAGCUAUCUUUCUCUGAUCUCUGGGUUCUGCACCUUUCUCUAAGGUAGAUACAAGUCUGGGAACAAAGGUUUAUGGAGGGAUGCCUGGUCUACCUGGACUCCGAUCACACCUACAAGGAGUCGGGCAUUGCAGUGGCAGCAGUAUAGCAACUGUUAACUCAUUUAAGGUCAGAGCUUUAUUGGCCAAUUGCCACAGUUAAUUAACCUCAAUCUCCAUGAUGAAUUUUCAUAGCUAAACCUAGCUAAUUCCUCUCUUUUUUAAAAAAUUGGGGUUAUUUUAUAAUUAAAAAAGUAAAUUUCUCAAUACAGAAAAUAACAUCACUAGGGAUUCCCCUUUAUAUGUUUGUUUUCUAUUCAAGGGUAAGACUAGGCAUAUCAAUGAAGGUGAAAGUUUAUGGAAAGUUGUGUGUAUAUUGUCCAUUGUUUGUGUUGCAGUGUUAAGGUAUUAUUAACCUUUGUUCAUCUCCAGAGAGAUGUUGCGUAUUCAGUCAGAGGACAGGGACAGCUGUUAUUGGAGACAGGUUCACCUGCUUAAUAAUUUCUGCUUGUCAUGCAGCUGUAAAAGGCUCAAGUGAUAUUGGGAUGCUUUAGAGAAGGUUUUUGCUUUAAAGGUGGUCUUGAGGAUAAUUUUAGUGGAGAAGAGGGAAAACUUGGUGAACAGGUAAAAUACAGGAGAACUUCAGAACUGACUAAGAGGGGAGAAAUAAAAAAUGUAAUUUCAUUACUUUUGACUUUAAUUUGUUGUUAUUCCUUGUAAUCUGCAUAACAAUCUAAAUCCGAACUAGAGUUAUACAUAAAUGGAGAUUUUACAUUACAAACUUUGAAUUUGAGCAUAGUGGGGGUUUUUUAAAAUAGAUGUUCUUUAAAUGUGUUGGCAGUUUCAUAUCUGUUUAUUUAUUGUUGUCAAGUGUAAAUUACCAAAUGCCCUAAACUCCCACUUACUAAAUAUUGUCAGAGUUCCAAUAAUGCUUGUCAAAUACUAAAUCCAUUCAAUGUCAGCUAUAAAAUGCCAUACUGCAUGUCAGCUAUCAAUUUCUGUCAGUUAGAGCUGCAAACUUAAAUCAUUUUAAGCAGUAGAUUAAUUAUCUAAAACUUUAGCCUCUAAUCCUACACACAUUUAUCAGGGAAUCGCUGUUGAAUUAAAGGGGAUUUGCUUCUGAGUAGACAUGGAUGGAAUUUCACUCUUAGUUGAUUAAUCAGGUGGGCCCGAUGAAGGCCAAUUUUAAUUGAAAGGGCCAACAGCUUGAAGUGUGCUUGUUGUUUUUUUGGCAUUAUUUUGACUGUGGUAUUAAUUUGACUGCGGUAUGUUAUUGUAACAGAGAAUGGGAGACAAAAUAUUUAAAAUGAUGGUACCUUCUGACAAUGCAAAACUGUGCAAAGAAAUAUAUGGUUUACUGGUAGUAAUCUUUGUGUAUUAAAUAGCAAAUUAUCUCACUCUGGUGAAUAUACUGGGGUUAUGGUAAUAGGAAUUUUUAUUUAAGAGAUUAAUCAGAGGAAAUAUUCUAUACAUAACUGACAAUUUUACAGAUAUUCAAGACUGGAUUCCAACAUCAAGAAUCAUUGGAUUUCAAAUACUGAUGCCAAAAUAGAAGAUCGACUAAUCAGACACAUUAGUAAAUCUUAUCUUUCAUGCCUUCUUAGGUACCCACAAUAGUCCAUCAUGUGCAAAUCCCCAUGUAUCAUUUUUUUCAUAAGACAGCC